CGGAACUACAGCCUGGAGACAGACCACCACGGCCACCCCAGUAGCAACUCUUCCUGGGGACCCUGGGCUGCUGAAACGCUGGCUGUGAGGUGCAACAGCUCUGAUGUCACUCGGCCAGAUGUCAGCUUGGUGCUCGUUGGCUGGUGAGCUGUCAGAUGACAAAGACUCUGUCCCCUCAUGUAGACACCAGGAUGCUCCUGAGUGCAACUGUGAAGAUGCCAGGCUGCAAGGCCCUUGAGAGCUCUGAGAGGAAAACAGGGAUAAGCACCCACUUUCCGGGGCAGCGGUGCGGUCCGGGCGGGGCCUGUCCCAGCCGCGCGCUUCAGCGCUCAUCCAGCGGGAGCGG